GGGCGAAUGGUUUAGUGGUAUAAUACUCCCUUAGCAUGGCUAUAACAUCUGGGAGUGGUCCAGGGUUCGAUUCCCUGUUCGUCCA